rnacentral:rRNA from 1 species
GACAGAGGAUGCAAGCGUGUCCGGAAUGAUUGGGCGUAAAGCGUCUGUAGGUGGCUUUUAAGUCCGCCGUCAAAUCCCAGGGCUCAACCCUGGACAGGCGGUGGAAACUACCAAGCUGGAGUACGGUAGGGGCAGAGGGAAUUUCCGGUGGAGCGGUGAAAGUGCGUAGAGAUCGGAAAGAACACCAACGGCGAAAGCACUCUCGCUGGCCGACACUGACACUGAGAGACGAAAGCUAGGGGAGCGAAUGGG